rnacentral:tRNA from 1 species
GCCCCCGUAGGUCAACGGAUAGACCGUCAGCUUCCGAAGCUGAAGACAUAGGUUCGAUUCCUGUCGGGGGUACCA